UGGGUAGUCCGCACGAGCGCACCUUACUUUUAGUUGCUACCAUUUAGUUGGGCACUCUAAAAGAACUGCCAGUGAUAAGCUGGAGGAAGGUGGGGAUGACGUCAAGUCCUCAUGGCCCUUACGUGUUGGGCUACACACGUGCUACAAUGGUACUCACAGAGAGAAGCUAAGAGGCGACUCCAAGCUAAUCCCAAAAAGGUACCUCAGUUCGGAUUGCACUCUGCAACUCGAGUGCAUGAAGCUGGAAUUACUAGUAAUCGCGGAUCAGCGCGCCGCGGUGAAUACGUUCCCGGGUCUUGUACACACCGCCCGUCACACCAUGGAAGUUGGUUACACCUUAAGGCAAAGUGUAAAACCUUUGACUACGGUACGAUCAGCAACUGGGGUGAAGUCGUAACAAGGUAGCCGUAGGGGAACCUGCGGCUGGAUCACCUCCUUUCU
rnacentral:rRNA from 1 species